UACCACUUCAGAACUGGCCAAAACUGGACAGAUUUCCUUCACUGGCAAAAAAUGAUGGUAUAAGAAUCAGACAAGGAAUCGCAAUGGACAGAGGGAGGGAAGGGAAGAAGGAAGGGCAGAAAGAAUGCCCAUAAAAUGCCUAGGAUAUUAGAGGACAAAAAUGCCCUGAGAUGGUUCCUAAGAUGAGCAUCCAUGGUAAGAGUGUUACUUUUUGGAGAUUAAAAACUCUGGAGAGCAAUUCCAAAGGAGAUUUCCAGUUUUCAAAGGACAGUUGAGAAAAAGUGAAGAAAUAUUACUGAAGUCACUUAAUAGCUGUGUCAUCAGAUGUGAUGUCAUAUAUA